rnacentral:rRNA from 1 species
AGGAUUCCCCUAGUAACGGCGAGUGAAGAGGGAAAAGCUCAAAUUUAAAAUCUGGCGGUCUACGGCCGUCCGAGUUGUAAUCUAGAGAAGUGUUUUCCGCGCUGGACCGUGUACAAGUCCUUUGGAACAAGGCGUCAUAGAGGGUGAGAAUCCCGUCUACGACACGGACUGCCAAGCGCUUUGUGAUACACUCUCAACGAGUCGAGUUGUUUGGGAAUGCAGCUCAAAAUGGGUGGUAAAUUCCAUCUAAAGCUAAAUAUGGGCGAAAGACCGAUAGCGAACAAGUACCGUGAGGGAAAGAUGAAAAGCACUUUGGAAAGAGAGUUAAACAGUACGUGAAAUUGUUGAAAGGGAAACGCUUGAAGUCAGUCGCGUCUUCAGAAAUUCAGCAGGGCUUCUGCCCUGCGUACUUUUCUGUGGGACGGGCCAGCAUCAGUUUUGGCCGCCAGAAAAAGGUGGGAGGAAGGUGGCACCUCCGGGUGUGUUAUAGCCUCCUAUCGUAUGUGGCGGCCGGGACUGAGGACCGCAGCACGCCUUCAUGGCCGGGGUUCGCCCACGUAACGUGCUUAGGAUGCUGGCGUAAUGGCUUUAAGCGACCCGUCUUGAAACACGGACCAAGGAGUCUAACAUGCCUGCGAGUAUUUGGGUGGCAAACCCAUAUGCGCAAUGAAAGUGAACGGUUGGGACUUCUGUCAUGGAAGGCACCGACGCCCGGACCAGACCUAUUGUGACGGAUCCGAGGUAGAGCAUGUAUGUUGGGACCCGAAAGAUGGUGAACUAUGCCUGAGUAGGGUGAAGCCAGAGGAAACUCUGGUGGAGGCUCGUAGCGAUUCUGACGUGCAAAUCGAUCGUCGAACUUGGGUAUAGGGCGAAAGACUAAUCGA